rnacentral:rRNA from 1 species
GCCCGGAGAUGGACUCUGAGACACGAGUCCAGGCCCUACGGGGCGCAGCAGGCGCGAAAACUUCGCAAUGCAGGAAACUGUGACGAGGGAACUCCAAGUGUCCAUGCAUUGCAUGGACUGUUUGCCAGCCUAAAAAGCUGGUAGAGUAAGGGGUGGGAAAGACCGGUGCCAGCCGCCCGCGGUAACACCGGCACCUCAAGUGGUAGCCACUAUUAUUUGGGCCUAAAGCGUUCGUAGCCGGCUUUGGUUAAUUCCCUGGGAAAAUCGUACCGCUCAACGGUGCGGAUUCCGGGGACACUGCCAGGCUUGAGACCGGGGGGAGAUCAAGGUACUUGCGGGGGAGCGGUGAAAUGUUGUAAUCCCGCAGGGACCACCAAUGGCGAAGGCAUCUGGAUCAAAACCGGCUUCUGAACGGUGAAGGGACGAAAACCCCUGGGGGCGCCAACCGGGAUUAGAUACCCCCGGUUAGUCCCAG